UUUUGCCCUUGGGCCAUCUGCAACCAGACAGCAAUAAACUCUUUGCUAGUUGCUUGAACUUUGCCUGCCUCAGUAGUCUCAAUUUUGUCUGUCUGAUCUUACAGGAACGAGAGAGUCUAUUUAUAAUUAUGCAUCCAUUUGUUGACUCCCUAUAAGGAAGGUAAAUGCAGUUGGACAAAGAUUGAUUCUGGAAAGGAUCCUCUGGGUAAUUGAUGUAUUACUCAGAAUUUGGAUAUUGAAACGAGCAACAUAUUGCUUUUCCAGAGGGAAAACACUCCAUGAAACUGAGUCAACAUUUAAGAAAAUGUCCUCAGAAUCAUUUGACAAAGACAACACAGAAAAGAAUCCAUAUGGAUUAGUUAAAUGAUAAGAUGCCUUUAAAAUUGGUAAAUAGGAUGCCGAGCCAAAGUCGCAAGUCCUGUGGAACGCGCCGAAUCAGCUCGCUACAGACAGGCAGGUCUGCGGACACCAUAGCAAAGUGGCGAGUCACACCGAAUGCGCCCAAUCAGCC
ensembl:lncRNA